UGAGCAGUUCAGAAAUUUACAUAUGAUACAGAGUUCCAGAGAGAUCCAGAUUAGACCGGUUGCCAAUCCAAUUAAAAAAUUUUUUUUCCCCUCUCUCUUGAAAGGCUGGAGAGCACACACACAAACUUGUUUAUCCUAACAAGCUUGAAUCAUGCCUAGUUAGCUGCUGCUCUGUGGCAUGAUUUUGAAGUAGGAGGUGGUGAGGCUGCCUGUUGGAUUACUAAAGUUCCCAGGAGACAAAUGUAAACACAGCAUAGAGAAGAGGACCAAGACUGUGCUUUGAAGACCUCAGCAAGCAGACACCAUUGAUAAGGAACUGUUAACAGUAAUGAAUGAGAGAUCCAUCCCAUGGGGAACAUGUCGUGAUUGAUUGAUGCUGAGCAUUGAGAAGGAUCCCUAUGUAAGUUGACCACUCUGGACCUCAGGCAGGACUCGGAAUAUAGGUCCUGGCCUCUUCUUACUGGAGAAUUGAAGCAAAGAUCCCCACACUUCUCAGCGGGCCUUUGCAGCUGGGUGAACAACAACAACAACAGCAACAACAACAAGAAGAAAAUGUAGAGAAAAAUAGACUCCAGAAUGGAGCUUGGAAGGAUUUCUCUCUCCUGAUCUCAGCUCCAGCAUGGCCCCUCAACUAAAAGAAGCAGUUUUUUGACCUUUGAAGACUCUGAGUGACUUGACAGCCACACCUCCAAAGCCCGUUGCCCUUGGCAACCAUUGAAGUAGAAGAACAUCCUCUUUAGACAGCAGCAGGACUCUUCUGUCAGCUUUCCAGAACCAUGUCUCCACUGAGGGAACCCUGGCUCCAGGAGCAACAGAGGGAAGAACUCUUUUUCUGUUCAUUGGGAAUGCCAGUGACUGCCUGGGAAGAGGAGGACACUUGCUCCCAAUGGUGAUGGACAGAUCACACAAUCCUUCAAUGAGGGAAGUCAGAGAAGAACCUGAAGCAGAAACCAUGGAGAAGGCUGCUUACUGCUCACUCUCUGGCUCAUGCUCAGCAAACCCACAGGCCAGGCCCAUCAAUAUAGGGAUGGUGCCACCCACAGUAGGCUAGACCCUCCCAUACCAGUUGUCAGUCAGGGCAGGCUGAUAGAGGCAAUUCCCCAGCUGAGGUCCCCUCUUCUCAGAUGA